CCUACGGGUGGCUGCAGUGAGGAAUAUUGGUCAAUGGCCGAGAGUCUGAACCAGCCAAGUCGCGUGAGGGAAGACGGCCCUACGGGUUGUAAACCUCUUUUGUCGGGGAGCAAAGCGAACCACGUGUGGUUCAUUGAGAGUACCCGAAGAAAAAGCAUCGGCUAACUCCGUGCCAGCAGCCGCGGUAAUACGGAGGAUGCGAGCGUUAUCCGGAUUUAUUGGGUGUAAAGGGUGCGCAGGCGGUUGAGUAAGACAGAUGUGAAAUCCCCGAGCUUAACUCGGGAAUGGCAUAUGUGACUGUUUGACUAGAGGGUGUCAGAGGGAGGUGGAAUUCCACGUGUAGCAGUGAAAUGCGUAGAUAUGUGGAAGAACACCGAUGGCGAAGGCAGCCUCCUGGGACAUAACUGACGCUCAGGCACGAAAGCGUGGGGAGCAAACAGGAUUAGAUACCCCAGUAGUC
rnacentral:rRNA from 1 species